ACUCAAUUGGACCAUUUUUUUGUACACUAAAUGUAUUGUUGCACUAAUAACUUAUAAUAUGUUUUUUUAGGAAACAUGGGGAUGUUAAUGGUAAAAUAAAAGAAAUUAUAUACAGCUAAAAAUGGCCUAUACUUGCGCCAACUUUCAACAGCCUUAGGCGUUGUCUUUCUUUUAUUUAUUUAUUGCUCUAUCUACCAACAACUUAUAAUUAAAGCCCAACUGACUAAACCCUAACUUCUUUUAUCACUUCAGCUGCAUCCCAAACCAGACCCCCAAACCUUUCUUCUCUCCCGAUUUUCUGGUCACCGGCGCCGCAACUCCGGCCGGCUGCCGACGACGGGUUCUCCUCCUUCUCCUACACCUACAGCCCCUCCCCAAUCUUGUUUAACACAUCUCGACAUCACCACAACCUUUUCGAAUCACGGGCGCGUUGCUUGAACUCGGAGCUCUCGCGGGAAAACCUGCAAGUGGCCGGAAGCUCGCAUCGGAACGGAGCUCGAAGACGUCGGAACUCGUGUUCGCCGUAACCGUCUGAACAAUCCUGUCGUCGCCGGAGAUCGGAAACCCGCGGGUGUUAUCUCGUUUUUGUGUUUGCCUGAUGCUGGCUAUAUCAGCAUGUUCACUGUGAUAACCAUUUCGUCUGUUCUUUUGGAUUUUAUCCAAUCUUACUCGUGCGUUACUUACAAGAAAUCGCAACGCAACCAAUGUUGAUGAGGACGAUGCUAAGAAAAGAAAUAGCGUUGAUGCCUAGAUACACAUAUAGACGUUAGGGUUUAAUAUGUU
rnacentral:lncRNA from 1 species